rnacentral:rRNA from 1 species
GACAGAGGUGGCAAGCGUUGUUCGGAUUUACGUGGGCGUAAAGGGCGCGUAGGCGGCGCAACAAGUCAACUUGGUGAAAUCUCCGGGCUUAACUCGGAACGGUCAACUGAUACUGUGGCGACUAGAGUGCAGAAGGGGGCAACUGGAAUUCUCGGUGUAGCGGUGAAAUGCGUAGAUAUCAGGAGGAACACCAAUGGCGAAGGCAGCUCGCUGGGACGGUACUGACGCUGGAGACGCGAAAGCGUGGGGAGCAAACAGG